rnacentral:rRNA from 1 species
CCUACGGGAGGCUGCAGUGGGGAAUAUUGGACAAUGGGGGGAACCCUGAUCCAGCGACGCCGCGUGAGUGAAGAAGUAUUUCGGUAUGUAAAGCUCUAUCAGCAGGGAAGAAAAUGACGGUACCUGACUAAGAAGCCCCGGCUAACUACGUGCCAGCAGCCGCGGUAAUACGUAGGGGGCAAGCGUUAUCCGGAUUUACUGGGUGUAAAGGGGGCGUUGACGGGGCAACAAGUCUGAUGUGAAAGGUCGGGGCCCAACCCCGGGACUGCAUUGGAAACUGUUGAACUGGAGUACGGGAGAGGUAAGCGGAAUUCCUAGUGUAGCGGUGAAAUGCGUAGAUAUUAGGAGGAACACCAGUGGCGAAGGCGGCUUACUGGACUGUAACUGACGUUGAGGCACGAAAGCGUGGGGAGCAAACAGGAUUAGAUACCCGUGUAGUC